rnacentral:rRNA from 1 species
UACGUAGGGCGCAAGCGUUGUCCGGAAUUAUUGGGCGUAAAGAGCUCGUAGGCGGUCUGUCGCGUCUGCUGUGAAAACUCGGGGCUUAACCCCGGGCCUGCAGUGGGUACGGGCAGACUAGAGUGCGGUAGGGGAGACUGGAAUUCCUGGUAUAGCAGUGAAAUGCGCAGAUAUCAGGAGGAACACCGGUGGCGAAGGCGGGUCUCUGGGCCGUAACUGACGCUGAGGAGCGAAAGCGUGGGGAGCGAACAGG